UGCAAUUUCAAGGUCAUUAUAAAUCUAUACAAAGAGUUUACAUUGCAAUAUUCUAACCAUACAAAGUGCUUUCCCUGUAAUUAGGAGACAGCUCUGGGCCCCCAUUAUCUAGUACUCAACCUAUGCAAUUUCAGUCAUUAUAAAUCUAUACAAAGAGUUUACAUUGCAAUAUUCUAACCAUAUAAAGCGCUUUCCCUGUAAUUAGGAGACAGCUCUGGGCCCCCAUUAUCUAGUACUCAACUUAUGCAAUUUCAAAGUCAUUAUAAAUCUAUACAAAGAGUUUACAUUGCAAUAUUCUAACCAUAUAAAGCGCUUUCCCUGUAAUUAGGAGACAGCUCUGGGCCCUCAUUAUCUAGUACUCAACUUGUGGAAAUUCCGUCAUUAUAAAUCUAUACAAAGAGUUUACAUUGCAAUAUUCUAACCAUAUAAAGCGCUUUCCCUGUAAUUAGGAGACAGCUCUGGGCCCCCAUUAUCUAGUACUCAACUUGUGCAAUUUCAAGGUCAUUAUAAAUCUAUACAAAGAGUUUACAUUGCAAUAUUCUAACCAUAUAAAGCGCUUUCCCUGUAAUUAGGAGACAGCUCUGGGCCCCCAUUAUCUAGUACUCAACCAGUGCAAUUUCAGAAUCAUUAAAAAUCAUUACUAUUCAAAGAGUUUACAUUGCAAUAUUCUAAGCAUACAAAGCGCUUUCCCUGUAAUUAGGAGACAGCUCUGGGCCCCCAUUAUCUAGUACUCAACCUGUACAAAUUCAGUUAUUAAAAAUCAAUUCACAAUUCUCUAAAAUGAAAGAAUAAUUCCUUGUUCUUCAUGCCCAUAUAGCUAACUUACUUUUGUGGUAGUCUAUUGAACACUUAACAAGCCGGGGAAGAUUGUAUUGGUUGCAGACAUAGACAGCUUGAUGUUUACAUUGGCUACAUUGAUGUCAACUUGCAGGAACACUCUUUUAAAUGUCACGCUCCAUAUUGCUAUCUCUCUCGUCAUCAACACGUCCAUUUCGAGCAGUGAGCAUUCUCUGUCUGCCUGAUUACAUGCCGGGGAACAUUGUAAUGGUUGCAGACAUAGACAGUUUGAUGUUUACAUUGGCUACAUUGAUGUCAACUUUCAGGAACACUCUUUUAAAUGUCACGCUCCAUAUUGCCAUCUCUCUCGUCAUCGACACGUCCAUUUCGAGUAGUGAGCAUUCCCUGUCUGCCUGAUUACAUGCCGGGGAAGAUUGUAUUAGUUGCAGACAUAGACAGCUUGAUGUUUACAUUGGCUACAUUGAUGUCAACUUUCAGGAACACUCUUUUAAAUGUCACGCUCCAUAUUGCCAUCUCUCUCGUCAUCAACACGUCCAUUUCGAGUAGUGAGCAUUCUCUGUCUGCCUGAUUACAUGCUGUUGAUCAAUGUGACGUGUAAAUGCUUAAAGAUCGCGUAUAUACCCACCUACCCGAGCAAAUACCCAGGCAUUGUUCAUAUAGGGUCAUUCAGGAAUUAUGAUAGAAUAGGGAUGUACCAUUUUUUACCUCGAAUUGCGAUAUGGUAUUUCGAUACGAUCUGGUCUACCCGGUCUACAGCGCCCAUGUUAGAGCUGUAGAUUCCAGUUAUUGAAGGCAUGGGUAUCAUCGCUCUUUAAAUUCAUCUGCUGACCAAUGCUGAACUUGCUGUGAGCUCAAUUUGAACAUCAAGCUCCGUUGCCCGGUAUAGACGAUCGCCUCUCUAUUCCAAGAGCGUCUAGGAACAGCUCAAAUAUUCCAUGUGGUUGACGAGGUAGAUAAGCUGUUUUAGGCCUGUGUUUUCUCCCAGACUUCCCCGAAAUCGACUUUGAAGGACUAGGCUGGGGGGCAUUAUCCUCUUGUAUGUCAUUUGGAGUUCAGGCUCACUCAGAAGCUUGGAUCCAGGAAGACGACGGGCUCUCUAUUCCAAGAGCGUCUAGGAACAGCUCAAAUAUUCCAUGUGGUUGACGAGGUAGAUAAGCUGUUUUAGGCCUGUGUUUUCUCCUAGGCUUCCCCGAAAUCGACUUUGAAGGACUAGGCUGGGGGGCAUUAUCCUCUUGCAUGUCAUUUGGAGUUCAGGCUCACUCAGAAGCUUGGAUCCAGGAAGACGACGGGCUCUCUAUUCCAAGAGCGUCUAGGAACAGCUCAAAUAUUCCAUGUGGUUGACGAGGUAGAUAAGCUGUUUUAGGCCUGUGUUUUCUCCUAGGCUAUGGGGCAUUAUCCUCUUGUAUGUCAUUUGGAGUUCAGGCUCACUCAGAAGCUUGGAUCCAGGAAGAUUUCUAACCUCGACAGCAUGAUUUUCUUCACCCUAAUCUUCAUCAGACUCACGCCCAUCAUCUGGAGGUGUUGCGUGGAUUGGUAUUUGGUUUUCUGAUUCUUCCGCCGCACCUUCGCCCUCUCCAUCAACGUUGCCAAAUUGUCGUACACUGAACAUUAUUGCAUUCACCAUUUUUAGACUCCAAGACGGUCGUAAGCACACAAAUAACGAUAGGAAAUUAAAGCUAGCGUCAAAACUGUUCAAUAUUGAUGGGUUUCGUUUUUUUGGCUAUAGUUAUCGGUCAGAAACUACAAAAAUGCAAUGCGCUGAGUACGAUAAUUUGGCAACGCUGCUCUCCAUCUCUGGCGUCCUCUCAACCUCUUCUAAAAUGUCAUGCAGCUCCGAAAGUCACUGGGGAAAACGAACACUGAGUGGGACAUACAAGAAAAGCAAUUGUUUUUAUUAUAAAGACCAAUUUUAGUGUCUGUUCUAUGAAUUUGGCUUGUUUUUAUUGCAUUGUCGCUAAUGUUGUGUGCCCGCCAAUGAAGAGCGCCCGUGGCUGUGUUCUCGCAUCGCAAAAUAAACGCAAAUUGUUCCCUGAAUUUAGCUGUUGUUUUUAUUGCAUUGUCGCUAAUGUUGUGUGCCCGCCAAUGCAGAGCGCCCGUGGCUGUGUUCUCGCAUCGCAAAAUAAACGCAAAUUGUUCCCUGAAUUUGGCUUGUUUUUAUUGCAUUGUCGCUAAGGUUGUGUGCCCACCAAUGCAGAGCGCCCGUGGCUGUGUUCUCGCAUCGCAAAAUAAACGCAAAUUGUUCCCUGAAUUUGGCUUGUUUUUAUUGCAUUGUCGCUAAUGUUGUGUGCCCACCAAUGCAGAGCGCCCGUGGCUGUGUUCUCGCAUCGCAAAAUAAACGCAAAUUGUUCCCUGAAUUUGGCUUGUUUCUAUUGUAUUGUCGCUAAUGUUGUGUGCCCACCAAUGCAGAGUGCCCAUGGCUGUGUUCUCGUAUCAGAAAAUAAACGCAAAUUGUUCCCUGAAUUUAGCUUGUUUUUAUUGCAUUGUCGCUAAUGUUGUGUGCCCACCAAUGCAGAGCGCCCAUGGCUGUGUUCUCGCAUCGCAAAAUAAACGCAAAUUGUUCCCUGAAUUUAGCUUGUUUUUAUUGCAUUGUCGCUAAUGUUGUGUGCCCACCAAUGCAGAGUGCCCAUGAUUGUGUUCUCGCAACGGAAAAUAAACGCAAAUUGUUCCCUGAAUUUAGCUUGUUUUUAUUGCAUUGUCGCUAAGGUUGUGUGCCCACCAAUGCAGAGUGCCCGUGGCUGUGUUCUCGCAUCGCAAAAUAAACGCAAAUUGUUCCCUGAAUUUAGCUGUUGUUUUUAUUGCAUUGUCGCUAAGGUUGUGUGCCCGCCAAUGCACAGUGCCCAUGAUUGUGUUCUCGCAUCGCAAAAUAAAUGCAAAUUUUACGGAUUCAUACGAAGCAGAAAACACCAGCAAAGUUUUACAUAAUAUCAGUAUUGGGCACAAGAAUCCAUAAUCUUAUAAUUUACUAGUGAAGGAAGCUUAGGCCUAACAAAAUACACG